GACAGAGGUGCCGAGCGUUAGGCGGAAUCACUGGGCUUAAAGCGUGUGUAGGCGGACCGUUAAGUGUCUUGUGAAAUCCCCCGGCUCAACCGGGGAAUUGCUGGGCAUACUGGCGGUCUUGAGCAGUCUAGGGGCAGAUGGAACAAGUGGUGGAGCGGUGAAAUGCGUAGAUAUCACUUGGAACGCCAAAGGUGAAGACAGUCUGCUGGGGACUUGCUGACGCUGAGACACGAAAGCCAGGGGAGCGAAUGGG
rnacentral:rRNA from 1 species